UACAGAGGGGGCAAGCGUUGUUCGGAAUUACUGGGCGUAAAGGGCGCGUAGGCGGCCCGCUAAGUCGAACGUGAAAUCCCUGGGCUCAACCCAGGAACUGCGUCCGAUACUGGCGGGCUUGAAUCCGGGAGAGGGAUGUGGAAUUCCAGGUGUAGCGGUGAAAUGCGUAGAUAUCGUUUGGAACGCCAAUGGUGAAAACAGGUCGCUGGGGAUGAGCUGACGCUGAGACACGAAAGCCAGGGGAGCAAACGGG
rnacentral:rRNA from 1 species